GAUGAACGCUGGCGGCGUGCUUAACACAUGCAAGUCGAACGGAAAGGCUCCUGCUUGCAGGGGUACUCGAGUGGCGAACGGGUGAGUAACACGUGGGUGAUCUGCCCUGCACUUCGGGAUAAGCCUGGGAAACUGGGUCUAAUACCGGAUAGGACGAUGGUUUGGAUGCCAUUGUGGAAAGUUUUUCGGUGUGGGAUGAGCUCGCGGCCUAUCAGCUUGUUGGUGGGGUAAUGGCCUACCAAGGCGUCGACGGGUAGCCGGCCUGAGAGGGUGUACGGCCACAUUGGGACUGAGAUACGGCCCAGACUCCUACGGGAGGCAGCAGUGGGGGAUAUUGCACAAUGGGCGCAAGCCUGAUGCAGCGACGCCGCGUGGGGGAUGACGGCCUUCGGGUUGUAAACUCCUUUCGCUAGGGACGAAGCGCAAGUGACGGUACCUGGAGAAGAAGCACCGGCUAACUACGUG
rnacentral:rRNA from 1 species